UCUUAGUUUGGCGUUUAUGCCUUGCUAGGGCCACACGCAUCUUGCUUAUGCCUGAAACCAAGAAAAUCCUGAAGGAUUUUGGAGAAAGGUAUCAAAUGCAAAAGCAACAUUAAGUACUAAUGAGGGAACCGAAAGUGAGCUGAAGGAAAUAUGAAGCUUUGGUGAUUUUACUUUAGAGUAGGAUGCUACAUAGU
rnacentral:sRNA from 12 species